GAUUAAGUUAUUAAGGGCGCACGGUGGAUGCCUUGGCACUAGAAGCCGAUGAAGGACGUUACUAACGACGAUAUGCUUUGGGGAGCUGUAAGUAAGCUUUGAUCCAGAGAUUUCCGAAUGGGGAAACCCAGCAUGAGUUAUGUCAUGUUAUCGAUAUGUGAAUACAUAGCAUAUCAGAAGGCACACCCGGAGAACUGAAACAUCUUAGUACCCGGAGGAAGAGAAAGAAAAUUCGAUUCCCUUAGUAGCGGCGAGCGAAACGGGAAGAGCCCAAACCAACAAGCUUGCUUGUUGGGGUUGUAGGACACUCUAUACGGAGUUACAAAGGACGACAUUAGACGAAUCAUCUGGAAAGAUGAAUCAAAGAAGGUAAUAAUCCUGUAGUCGAAAAUGUUGUCUCUCUUGAGUGGAUCCUGAGUACGACGGAGCACGUGA
rnacentral:rRNA from 1 species